rnacentral:rRNA from 1 species
CAGUAGCCACGGGAAUACAGAGGGUGCGAGCGUUAAUCGGAUUUACUGGGCAUAAAGCGUGCAUAGGCGGCUUCUUAAGUCGGAUGUGAAAUCCCUGAGCUUAACUUAGGAAUUGCAUUCGAUACUGGGAAGCUAGAGUAUGGUAGAGGAUGGUAGAAUUCCAGGUGUAGCGGUGAAAUGCGUAGAGAUCUGGAGGAAUACCGAUGGCGAAGGCAGCCAUCUGGCCUAAUACUGACGCUGAGGUACGAAAGCAUGGGGAGCAAACAGGAUUAGAUACCCCUGUAGUCCCUGUCUCUUAUAC